UCAUCAUAUUGGUAGUAAGCCUAUUCGUGAGAUCAUUUAUCAAAAGGGCGGAAAAGAUGGCAACCCACCGGAUUUGGCAACAAUUUUCUUUGAGACCCGUAAGAAAGAUAACAAGCUUGUUGAACCUGAAGCAAUUGAAAAACAUGCUCAAAUCGAAGAAAUAGUUCAAGCAGAU